GUGGGGAAUAUUGGACAAUGGGGGAAACCCUGAUCCAGCAACGCCGCGUGGGGGAUGAAGGUCUUCGGAUUGUAAACCCCUGUUGAGAGGGGCGAAGGUUUGAGGGCGAACAGUCUUCAAACUUGACGGUACCUCGAGAGGAAGCCCCGGCUAACUCUGUGCCAGCAGCCGCGGUAAUACAGAGGGGGCAAGCGUUAUUCGGAAUCAUUGGGCGUAAAGGGCGCGUAGGCGGCCGCGUAAGUCUCGGGUGAAAUCCCUCGGCUCAACCGAGGAACUGCCCUGGAUACUGCGCGGCUUGAGGCCGGGAGAGGAUGGUGGAAUUCCCAGUGUAGCGGUGAAAUGCGUAGAUAUUGGGAGGAACACCGGUGGCGAAGGCGGCCAUCUGGACCGGUCCUGACGCUGAGGCGCGAAAGCGUGGGGAGCAAACAGGAUUAGAAACCCCGGUAGUCC
rnacentral:rRNA from 1 species